rnacentral:rRNA from 1 species
UACGAAGGGGGCUAGCGUUGCUCGGAAUUACUGGGCGUAAAGGGCGCGUAGGCGGAUGGUUUAGUCAGACGUGAAAUCCCUGGGCUCAACCUGGGGGCUGCGUUUGAUACGGAUCAUCUAGAGUUUGGAAGAGGGUCGUGGAAUUCCCAGUGUAGAGGUGAAAUUCGUAGAUAUUGGGAAGAACACCGGUGGCGAAGGCGGCGACCUGGUCCUUGACUGACGCUGAGGCGCGAAAGCGUGGGGAGCAAACAGG